GAAAUAAGUGGCUGAAAAAGCGGAAUGUUGUAAGCAUUCAAAUGAAGAAUAACUCUUCCUGUUUCA
rnacentral:tRNA from 1 species